rnacentral:rRNA from 1 species
UACGUAGGGGGCUAGCGUUGUCCGGAUUUAUUGGGCGUAAAGAGCGUGUAGGCGGCCAGGUAGGUCCGUUGUGAAAACUCGAGGCUCAACCUCGAGACGUCGGCGGAAACCCUCUGGCUAGAGUCCGGAAGAGGAGAGUGGAAUUCCCGGUGUAGCGGUGAAAUGCGCAGAUAUCGGGAAGAACACCCGUGGCGAAGGCGGCUCUCUGGGACGGUACUGACGCUGAGACGCGAAAGCGUGGGGAGCGAACAGG